rnacentral:rRNA from 1 species
GACGAACGCUGGCGGCGUGCUUAACACAUGCCAGUCGAACGGAAAGGCCCUGCUUUUGUGGGGUGCUCGAGUGGCGAACGGGUGAGUAACACGUGAGUAACCUGCCCUUGACUUUGGGAUAACUUCAGGAAACUGGGGCUAAUACCGGAUAGGAGCUCCUGCUGCAUGGUGGGGGUUGGAAAGUUUCGGCGGUUGGGGAUGGACUCGCGGCUUAUCAGCUUGUGGGUGGGGUAGUGGCUUACCAAGGCUUUGACGGGUAGCCGGCCUGAGAGGGUGACCGGCCACAUUGGUACUGAGAUACGGCCCAGACUCCUACGGGAGGCAGCAGUGGGGAAUAUUGCACAAUGGGCGGAAGCCUGAUGCAGCAACGCCGCGUGCGGGAUGACGGCCUUCGGGUUGUAAACCGCUUUCGCCUGUGACGAAGCGUGAGUGACGGUAAUGGGUAAAGAAGCACCGGCUAACUACGUG